AUACUUACCAGGCGCUGGGUUUGCAGUGAUCACAGAGGCCGCGGUCCCGUGUGGAGGCCCCUCCAUCGCACUAGGGUGGGCUGAAGCACGCCACUUCCCCAAGUCGGGGUAGCUGGCGCAUGCAAUUUUUGGUAGUGGGGCUAGGCGAGCGCGGCAUCCCCCA